UGAGUGCACUAAAAGACUUCUAAUCUUAAUCUAGCGUUUAACGCUGCACUUAA
rnacentral:tRNA from 1 species